UUAGCAACCCUUUUUCCCGGUGCUAAGGAAUGACAUCCAAAAAGGCACCACAGCUAUUGAACUUCUCCCCUUGCCUUUCACGAGUCGCGUCAGCUGAACUUCUUUUCCCCUUUCCUUUCCCACAUCGCCGUUUCACUUCUUUCUCUUUUCAUCUCUAUUCAGACUCCUCUCUCCGAAACCCUCAAUUUCUGCUUGCGUCUUCGAUGGCCCUCCAAAGAUUUGUAUCGAUCUCCUCUGGAACUGCUUUUUUCUCCUCUGCCUCACUUGGCACAUUUUCAAACCUUAAUAAUUGGAAUUUUUGAGAUUGGGUGAGUGUACGAAGGGCGAGAGCUAUAGGAAUGGUGUUGAUGCAGUCGUGAUGUGCUUUGGCAACUCAUCCAAACAUUUCUAUUAUUGGAUUGUGGUGCUAAGAAGAUGACGCUGAAAGUGAUUGUGGUGGCUUCUUCGAUCAAUUUUCUCUUUGGAUUCUCGAUUACAUUGUGGCUCGUCUUCAUGUGAGACAUGUUCUUGGAUUCUACGAUUGUAGCUUAUAAAUGGAAGUGGAAAGAGACGACCAAGGUGACUUUGCAGUUGCCCGCAUAUCUAAAGAUUAUCAAGACCUAGCAGUUGGGUAAUUUGCGGCCUUUAUUUUCUGCAUUAAAGAUAUCAUCUCCACAGUCACUCAAGAAACAUGGGGAGAACAAAAUAUGAAGAUGAUGUUGUUUUAUUUUAAUUUUAAUCAUGUACGUUGACAAUUGAUUUAUUUGUGAUGCUUAAAAACUUUCACUAUGUUCUUAAAUUUGACUAUUUUGAAUGUGAUAAAUUUGAAAUGUUUCAUAUAAA